rnacentral:rRNA from 1 species
UUUAACGAAAGUGGCGAACGGGUGAGUAACACGUGAGCAACCUGCCUUACACAGGGGGAUAGCCAUUGGAAACGGUGAUUAAUACCCCAUAAGACCACAAUACCGCAUGGUAAAAGGGUAAAAGGGAUACCGGUGUAAGAUGGGCUCGCGUCUGAUUAGCUAGUUGGUGGGGUAAAGGCCUACCAAGGCGACGAUCAGUAGCCGGUCUGAGAGGAUGAACGGCCACAUUGGAACUGAGAUACGGCCCAGACUCCUACGGGAGGCAGCAGCC